GCUGACAGAAAGAGAGAGAGAGGGAGGGACAAUGACUUUUGUUAUCUCUGAAAUAAGGAGUGACUUCCUGACUUUUUAUAUGUGAGAGAGAAAGAGGAGGAGCACAAAGACAGAUUUCUCUGUUAACCAUUUCUUCACUAUAUAACAUUCUAGCUUGUGUGUGCAUGUGUAAGCUCGUACACUCGCCUGUGCACAACUUACAUACAUUUUCCAAGGCAUAUUAUAUUUUUAAUAUCCAUUCAAAAUGAAAACAAACAACUUUAAGUAGUCGUUUUACUAUGGUGAUGAUGGAACUCUGAUGUCUCCAGCUAUGUGAUGUUAUGAGAAGGAUGUAUGUGCAGAGCCGCAGUGCUGCGCUCUCAGCUUCGGACAUGAUGUAGAGGUUUAGAGGCUUCCUACAUUUAAGUUUAUAGCGGGGAAUGUACAGGUGAGGUCGAUGGAAGCGAAUGAAGUACAGCAGGAUCUCAGAAAGCUUCUGACCUUAGAAAACGACUUUAAGACUUUAGUUUGUAAAAAUGAUUAUUACCCAAGGGUCACGGGGAACCUGGAGGCUAUCCCAGGGAGCAUCGGGCACAAGGCGGGGUACACCAUGGACAGGGUGCCAAUCCAUUGCAGGGCACAAUGACAUACACAUUCACACACACAUUCAUACACUACGGACACUUUGGACACGCCAAUCAGCCUACCAUGCAUGUCUUUGGACUGGAGAGGAAACCGGAGUACCCGGAGGAAACCCCCGCAGCACCUGGAGAACAUGUAAACUCCGCACACACACACACACACACACACACACACACACACACAGGGCCACGGUGGUAAUCAAACCCCGGACCCUGGAGGUGUGAGGCGAACAUAAUAACCACUAUAAAUAUCCACUAAGCCCCGUGCAGCACACAAUAAAUUUAAAGUAAGUAACAAGUACAGAAUAUUAAAUAAAUAGUAUUUAAAAAAUAAACAUUUAUAUUUAUCUGCUAUUCUUCUUUUUCACAUUUAUAUAACCACUUUCAAAUACAAAAGCUGUAUUCGUGUAUAAAUAUGUAAUAAUUAUCUUCAAUAAAACCAUUUAUGAUUUUUGUCA